UACGUAGGAGGCGAGCGUUGUCCGGAAUUACUGGGCGUAAAGCGCGUGUAGGCGGUCUGAAUAGUCUGCUGUGAAAGCGCCUGGCUUAACCGGGCGAGGUCGGCGGAAACUCUCAGACUGGAGGCCGGUAGAGGGGGGUGGAAUUCCCGGUGUAGUGGUGAAAUGCGUAGAGAUCGGGAGGAACACCUGUGGCGAAGGCGGCCCCCUGGGCCGCGCCUGACGCUGAUACGCGAAGGCUAGGGGAGCAAACGGG
rnacentral:rRNA from 1 species